rnacentral:rRNA from 1 species
GACGAACGCUGGCGGCGUGCUUAACACAUGCAAGUCGAACGGAAAGGCCCUGCUUUUGUGGGGUGCUCGAGUGGCGAACGGGUGAGUAACACGUGAGUAACCUGCCCUUGACUUUGGGAUAACUUCAGGAAACUGGGGCUAAUACCGGAUAGGAGCUCCUGCUGCAUGGUGGGGGUUGGAAAGUUUCGGCGGUUGGGGAUGGACUCGCGGCUUAUCAGCUUGUUGGUGGGGUAGUGGCUUACCAAGGCUUUGACGGGUAGCCGGCCUGAGAGGGUGACCGGCCACAUUGGGACUGAGAUACGGCCCAGACUCCUACGGGAGGAAGCAGUGGGGAAUAUUGCACAAUGGGCGGAAGUCUGAUGCAGCAACGCCGCGUGCGGGAUGACGGCCUUCGGGUUGUAAACCGCUUUCGCCUGUGACGAAGCGUGAGUGACGGUAAUGGGUAAAGAAGCACCGGCUAACUACGU